CCACGCUUCUGACCUGUGCUCUGUCUUUGCAGUUCUGCACGGAGCUAAACCAGCCGACCCUGCCCAACAUCCGCAAGUGGAAGGGGCCCCGGGGAUGCUGGAAGGCUGUUGUUGCUGAGAAGCCCUCGAAUCAGCUCCAGAAGGGAGCUGGGUAUGCAGGAUUCCUAUGGGACGCGGCUGCCGGCAUGGAGCUGAGAGACGCGGGCUCACAGGAGAGCUCGCCCGGCAACGGGCACGGGAAGCCGGCAGGCCCCAGCCCAUACCUCGGGCGGUUCAAGGUGGGAAGUCACGACCUGACCCUUGUUAACCUUCACCUGGCAGCCCUGACCCUCCUGGGGAGCGAGAAUCCCAGCAAGAAUCACAGUGAUGGCCACCGGUUGGCGAGCUUUGCACAGACCCUACAGGAAACCCUGAAAGGAGAAAAGGAUGUCAUUAUCUUAGGGGAUUUUGGCCAAGGGCCAGACAGCAAUGACUAUGAUAUCCUGAGGAAAGAAAAGUUCCACCACCUGAUCCCCGCGCACACCUUCACCAACAUCAGCACCAAGAACCCUCAAGGCUCGAAGUCUCUGGACAACAUCUGGAUCAGUAAAAGCUUAAAGAAGGUUUUCACAG
rnacentral:sRNA from 1 species